ACGGAACGUUAUUUUGACCCUAGUACUCGCGUAGUAGAGGUGUACAAGUUAGUGUUAGGGCGUGUUGUUACUCUGAGCUGGUACCCCGUUACCCUUUGGGGUCGCUAGGGCUGACAUACCCCUAGCUUACACUCACUUCUGUACACCGUCAAAAAGCGAAUACAUAGGGUCAAAAAUAUAUAUUUAUUACAAGUGCCUUAUCCUCUUGUGGGAUAUAUAUACACGGUGAUAUUAUUUUAUUAAUGUAUUCAUUGUUUUCAGCGGUAUUGUUAGUCAACGAGGUAAUGGAGUGACGAUGACGCAUCGCGUGAAAAGACCCGAUUGGCGAGGUAGGAAUCUGUGGUGGAGCGAUGAUUCAAGUCAGACCGUGGCGAGCAGAAGCUGGUGGCAGAUGUCCUGGUUGAGGUAAUACCGGGACAGAUUGGCAGGAUGUGUGGAAGAACACAGCGAUACGCGUCACUGCCAAGUAUUCACCAAUAGUGACGUUAAGUGUGAGAGGCUUGAGUACCUUUGACGUUGAUAACAUCGUGGUUAGGUACUUUAUGGACAGACCUGGAAGUGUUGAAUGAAGUUGACCUCUUGCAUACAAGAAUUGCGAGAUGAUGGUAAUGGAGAAGGUUGAUUGGUAGAGGGAAUCGGAGCCAGCGGACUUUGACGUACAACGGAACCAGAGGGUGAAGUGCAAGAAAAAUUAAGUGUUGAAGAGAGGGAUGACGCGACCCACACCGUGAAUAACUGAAAGGAGUUAAGAUUGGCAGAUACGAAGACUGGACAAUAAAGAGAAGGGGGUUCGUGAAUCAAUAAGUGUUACAAUCGCAUUUGCUACCUGGAAGUGGAAAGUGUUGAGUGUUGCAUUUAAAGACGAGUUCAUAAUAUACUCGUAUUGAGGGGGAAGAAUGUGUGUUUUGUGGCCUUAAGUCGUGAAACAGUGUUGGCAAGAGAUAGACGGGCCAAAAUGUGUGGAUGGUGAAAGGGAUGCGUGAAGUUUUGGAAAAGGUGUGAAAUGAAGGUUAUGGAAGGUGUAGAGUAAAUGUUAGUUACUAGGUCGUUUUGUAAAAGACCUCGUUUGCUCGUGUCUAAAAUUAAAGUAAUCGGUGGGUGGUUAUAUAAUAUAAUAAGAAUUUAUUGGUGUUGUCGAAUGGAUUUGUGGUGUUGUAAGGACGUCAUUAUGAAAGAUGUAGUGACAAUCAUGUUAGGAGUAAUGCAUAAAUAGUAGUGUGUACAGGUGAGGCAGUUUUGUGUGGGACAAUAGUAAAAGGCGUACUCCAAAACUGUAAGUGCGCAAUAAGUGCAAAUAUGGUAUAUAUAUGACAAUGGAUUGUAGUUAUUUGCAGUUAUUAAAUCGUACUUUGGAAUGUUGUUAAGUGAGUUGACCAGAAAAGGGGGAAAAAAGGGACUUAAGGUAACAGUGUAUGUUUAUUGAAGAAUAGGAUGGUAUUGGUUUGUAAUAUGUACUAAAACCUUGCAGGGGAUGAGUCACAACGUGGCUAAAGUAUGAUGACCAGACCACACACUAGAAUGUGAAUGGACGACGACGACGUUUCUGUCCGUCCUGGACCAAUCUCAAGUCGAUUGAGAAUGGUCCAGGACGGACCGAAACGUCGUCGUCCCUUCACCUUGUAGUGUUCUGGUCAUCAUACUUAACCUAUACCUAUAAUGUUAGUUAAUAAAAACCAAACAUUUUUAAAUGUAUUCAUGUUAUGUGAAAAAAGAAAAUAA